rnacentral:sRNA from 12 species
CUUGUGGAGUAUUACAGAAACUAUAGUAGCAAGUAUAACUGCGAGAUAGAAUACGAUGAAACAAGAA